rnacentral:lncRNA from 1 species
UUAAGAACCAUCUUUGCAGAGAAGGAUGUGGAAAAAAUCAAAAUGUUGAAAAACUGUACUGGAACAUAUAGUCAAACAACUUGGAGUUGGUGUUCAAGCUACAGGGCUGUCCCAAGGUUGUAAUUUAAAAGUGGCUCUGAGAAGUUAAAUUUCUGUAAUUAGCAGCUCAUCUUUGCUUGUUAUUUUCCUUUUUGUAGGAAAGCCAAGUCUGGUCAGAUACUAACAAUUCAGAGUGAAAAGGAAAUGGCCAGCAGCAUUAAAAAUAAAAUCCUGCUCACCGAAAGACAGUUGCUGCUUCUGGAAAGGAAUAAUGCAUUCUGAGGCCAAGGGAAGAGGAGGAGCCCAGGAAAAACUCUGAAGAAGGGACAGGGAUAAAUAAGACUACUGCUGUCUUGUUGAUAGCUGUGCCUGUUUGGCUGCAGUCCAGAAGAUACAGUGGUAUGCUGAAGAGGCAGAAAGGGGUAGCUUAAAAACAAUUCACAUCACAGGGAAAAAUUUGCAAGUCCAUGGGAAAAAUGUGUCAACAUGAAAGACCAGCCUCAUCAAUGCUGCCUCUUGGGUAGAAUUUAUUGUAUCAUCUUGAAUGCAAAGUCUGCUCUCUCUGAGGAAGAUGUCAGUGAAUACCAUGAGCAAAUCUGA